AUUGAACGCUGGCGGCAGGCCUAACACAUGCAAGUCGAACGGUAACAGGAAACAGCUUGCUGUUUCGCUGACGAGUGGCGGACGGGUGAGUAAUGUCUGGGAAACUGCCUGAUGGAGGGGGAUAACUACUGGAAACGGUAGCUAAUACCGCAUAACGUCGCAAGACCAAAGAGGGGGACCCUCGGGCCUCUUGCCAUCGGAUGUGCCCAGAUGGGAUUAGCUUGUUGGUGGGGGAACGGCUCACCAAGGCGACGAUCCCUAGCUGGUCUGAGAGGAUGACCAGCCACACUGGAACUGAGACACGGUCCAGACUCCUACGGGAGGCAGCAGUGGGGAAUAUUGCACAAUGGGCGCAGGCCUGAUGCAGCCAUGCCGCGUGUAUGAAGAAGGCCUUCGGGUUGUAAAGUACUUUCAGCGGGGAGGAAGGGAGUAAAGUUAAUACCUUUGCUCAUUGACGUUACCCGCAGAAGAAGCACCGGCUAACUCCGUG
rnacentral:rRNA from 1 species